rnacentral:tRNA from 1 species
GUUUAAUUAGUUUAAUUUAUUAAAAUAAUAAAUUGUGGAUUUAUAGAUGAAUAAUUCAUUAAACA